rnacentral:rRNA from 1 species
CAGCCGCCGCGGUAAUACGUAGGUGGCGAGCGUUGUCCGGAUUUAUUGGGCGUAAAGGGAGUGUAGGCGGUCUUUUAAGUCUGAUGUGAAAGCCCACGGCUCAACCGGGGAGGGUCAUUGGAAACUGGGAAACUUGAGUGCAGAAGAGGAGAGUGGAAUUCCACGCGUAGCGGUGAAAUGCGUAGAGAUGUGGAGGAACACCAGUGGCGAAGGCGACUCUCUGGUCUGUAACUGACGCUGAGGAGCGAAAGCGUGGGGAGCGAACAGGAUUAGAUACCCCCGUAGUCCCUGUCUCUUAUAC